GUUUGCUUUAUCUUUAUCUUGCUUGAAACUUGCAGGGCUUUCAGGCACAGGAGUGGGCAUGGAAGAGCAAACCUAUCAGGCUGAUGGAGCAUAAUUUUGGAUUCUGAAGCAAGAUGCCAGCUAAAGCUUGUGUCCUUGAUGAGAGAAGGUCGAUGAGUGGUAUAAAAAUGGUUAAAGCGGCAAAAUGGAUGGUAGAGAAUGUAUGCUAACAAGAGCAGAAGUCUGAGGAGUGGAAGCUGUGCUGUGCACAUCCUAUGUGAUAUGUAAUGGCUACGUUGUCCACUUUGAGCUUCACCCUUGACCAUGUCGAUACAAUUUCAGCAACACUUGAAUGGAAAAUUUUCACCAGAAAGUUAACAAAAUCUCCAAAUAAUUAUCAGAUUAGAAUUUUUCUCGGUAACUACUUGUGAGGUGGAAAUCUGAAGGAUAACUCACUAGGCGAUCCACCCCAUUCUCCAACAAGCAUAUGGUCGAAGCUUUUUAACGAGAAAAGUGAAAACCUCCUGAAACUGCAUCAAAAGAUUAAAAAACCCCAAAUUAUAUCCAUGAAAUCGGUUGAACUUGAAGAACAACAAGAAAAGCUCAGAACAAUAGUUAAUGACUGCAGAUUAAACUUAGCAAAAGAUACAUAUAGAUCCCCAUCGACAUUUCAUGCAUGUCCGAUUCGUGUAUUUGCUGAGCCAUUAGAGCAUUCCAGUUUUUCACCACUAAAUUGGGUAUUGCUGCAAUUUCCAAGUUUGUUUCUGUUCUUUCUUAUGGUUGCAGCGAAAUAUCCAGACUGAAUCAGUCAGAAGAAAUAUUAACAGACAACUUUCUUUGUUUGGUCAUGGAUCUAAUCCUCCAGAAAUGCCAUUGGAGGGAGAGCAACAGAAGGCCUUUGGUCACGUUAUCUCAUUGUUCAUGGAACUAUCAGUGUGCGCUGAUGUGCGAUUUGCUCCAGCAGCUGGAUUUCAUAUAUUCUCUGCAAGACAUGAAUAGUAUGCCAUGCAAAUUUUUUAAGAACAUCACACUUAUAACCUCUUUUACUUCCCUCGGUGAUGGUCUGGCGAUGUUUCUCAUUUUGGAUGAAGUAUUGGCAAACAUUGACCAUAGAAAGAACUAUUUAUCUCGUUUUUACAAGGCAAUAUCAAGAAAAGCUGCACUGCGCGAGAUGAUUAGAGAUUAUAGGCAAGCAGUUAAGGAUCUUCCAAGGCUUAUUCCUAUCCUUGAAAAGCAAGCUCAUGAUAAACACAAUCAGUCUAGGAGUCUAGCCAGACCAGUUAGUUAGUCCUGUGAAUGAUCUAACAGAAGCUCGUCCGCAACUUUCCUCCAUAGAGGAAGAAGCCAAAAAAGCAGUCCCCUAAGAUAUGUAUCUGAUCUCGCUUGGAAAUUCUUAGCAAGAAGUGAGAAUGGAAAUGAUGCACUCUGGAAAGAUAUUGCUGAAGAAGUCUACAAGGAUGCUGACAGGCUUAUUAAGAUGAUUGUAUGCGAUACUUCCAGACCCUACCAAGCGGUCACAUUACGAUCUAGAAGAGACUGCGAACUCCCAGAAGAGAGGCAACAGAAGCAGCACAAUUAAAGAACGCCUUCUUCUUCAACAGAUGUUACCCAUUUGAAAGAAGUGGCAGUAGUAGGAGACAGUAGCAGGAGGUGCGAAGAAAAUGAUCUUAUAAAUGUGAGAAGCUGAACAAGAAUGAGCAUUAGCAUAUUUAUCCGAACGCCGUCAUUCCUUAUUAUACAGACAGCAAUGACAGUAACAAAUGAAGUGCGCUGAACUGUAUAAGGUAUGCAGGUUGAGAGUGGGAGUCUUCUGACUCAGGUAUUACGAACCUGGUUUUACUUGCGUCCUUCAAAUAAAACUUUCUUUGGUUAUGUGAAGAAUAUAACCAAAUUCAUGUUGCAAGCUGAUUCCGAAGGUCUAUUCCUGUUGUAUUGUUACGUAUUAUCAACUCACAAGCCAGUGCCAUUGCAAAGAAUGACUCCACUAUCCGCACCUCUUAAGGUGUUUGCUAUCUAAUAAAUUGUCACCAAAUCUGCAACCUUUUUAGUAAAACUUGCAUGUAUCUGAAAUAUUUAGCAUUUUGGCUUAGCAAAGUAUCAAAGUUUUUACAUUUCUGUAAGCUCUCUAUGAUGACAAGUUCUUUUCCUCAAAAUUAAGAGCACUAUACUUUUAUUUGAAAACAUAAGCUGAAACUUCCUAUAUUGUGGGAACGGUUUGGAUUCCUCGAAUGUAAGCACAUGAAGCACGUGCCAGUGUGGACUGGGUAUAUGCCAUUAAAAUAUAGUGAUAAGGAUAAUUUAUUGUUUGAGGUUUGAGGUUUGGCAAUACUUUCUUACCAGGGCUCAUUUUACAGGCUCUUUACAGUCGACGGUGUUGGAGGUUUUGAAAAAUUGGAAAAGCUGUCAUCUAUCUAACCAAGCUAAGGAACUUUGGGACAGGUUACCUGCUAGCAUCACUGGGAGUUUAUGAAAGGAAUGCAAUGCUUGCACCUUUGAAGUGAAACAGAAACCAAGUGAAGCUAUCAUAUCUGAGAUAAAAAUUCAGACUAUUCAUCAGGCUUCCAUUCAUCGGUCUAUACAACAGGGUGUUGCAAUUCAUGAUGGGAUAGUUAACUGGAGUCGCAAGUUUUUUGAUCCUUGUUGAUUUUCCUGCAAUUUUCGCUUUUGUGUUUGAGGGUGGAUCUCGUUUAGACCCAGUGACUUCUCUUUCAAUAAUUGGAGAUCUGGGUUGUAUAUUCGUUUCUAUAAAUACAAAUUUGUCAUUA